GACGAACCGUCCAAACGUUAUUCGGAUUUACUGGGCUUAAAGGGUGCGUAGGCGGCGCGGAAAGUUGGGUGUGAAAUCCCUCGGCUCAACCGAGGAACUGCGCCCAAAACUACCGUGCUCGAGGGAGAUAGAGGUGAGCGGAACUUAGGGUGGAGCGGUGAAAUGCGUUGAUAUCCUAAGGAACACCGGUGGCGAAAGCGGCUCACUGGAUCUCUUCUGACGCUGAGGCACGAAAGCUAGGGGAGCGAACGGG
rnacentral:rRNA from 1 species